AUUGAACGCUGGCGGCAUGCCUUACACAUGCAAGUCGAACGGCAGCACGGGAGCAAUCCUGGUGGCGAGUGGCGAACGGGUGAGUAAUAUAUCGGAACGUGCCCAGUCGUGGGGGAUAACGUAGCGAAAGCUACGCUAAUACCGCAUACGAUCUACGGAUGAAAGCGGGGGAUCGCAAGACCUCGCGCGAUUGGAGCGGCCGAUAUCAGAUUAGCUAGUUGGUGGGGUAAAAGCUCACCAAGGCGACGAUCUGUAGCUGGUCUGAGAGGACGACCAGCCACACUGGAACUGAGACACGGCCCAGACUCCUACGGGAGGCAGCAGUAGGGAAUUUUCCGCAAUGGGGGAAACCCUGACGGAGCAACGCCGCGUGAGGGAAGAAGGGCCUUCGGGUCGUAAACCUUUGUCAUCGAGGACGAUAAUGACGGUACUCGAGGAGGAAGCCCCGGCUAACUACGUG
rnacentral:rRNA from 1 species